rnacentral:rRNA from 1 species
GACGAACGCUGGCGGCGUGCCUAAUACAUGCAAGUCGAACGAGAGCGACCGGUGCUUGCACUGGUCAAUCUAGUGGCGAACGGGUGAGUAACACGUGGGUAACCUGCCCAUCAGGGGGGGAUAACAUUCGGAAACGGAUGCUAAAACCGCAUAGGUUCUUGAGUCGCAUGACUGAAGAAGGAAAAGAGGCUUCGGCUUCUGCUGAUGGAUGGACCCGCGGUGCAUUAGCUAGUUGGUGAGGUAACGGCUCACCAAGGCCGUGAUGCAUAGCCGACCUGAGAGGGUGAUCGGCCACAUUGGGACUGAGACACGGCCCAAACUCCUACGGGAGGCAGCAGUAGGGAAUCUUCCGCAAUGGACGCAAGUCUGACGGAGCAACGCCGCGUGAGUGAAGAAGGAUUUCGGUUCGUAAAACUCUGUUGUUAGAGAAGAACAGCGCAUAGAGUAACUGUUAUGCGUGUGC